rnacentral:rRNA from 1 species
CGGUACGGGUGAGUAACACGUGGGUAAUCUACCUCUUAGUGAGGAAUAACCCUGGGAAACCGGGGCUAAUACCGCAUAAGCCUGAGAAGGGAAAGCAGCAAUGCGCUGAGAGAGGAGCCCGCGGCCGAUUAGCUAGUUGGUGAGGUAAGAGCUCACCAAGGCAUAGAUCGGUAGCCGGCCUGAGAGGGCACACGGCCACACUGGCACUGAAACACGGGCCAG